UCGAGAAUCUUUCACAAUGGGGGCAACCCUGAUGGAGCGACGCCGCGUGGAGGAUAAGGUCUUCGGAUUGUAAACUCCUGUCAUGCGAGAGCAAGGCAUAGUAAUAUGUUUGAUAGUAUCGCAAGAGGAAGAGACGGCUAACUCUGUGCCAGCAGCCGCGGUAAUACAGAGGUCUCAAGCGUUGUUCGGAAUCACUGGGCGUAAAGGGUGCGUAGGCGGCGGAGUAAGUCGGGUGUGAAAUUUGAAGGCUCAACCUUCAACUAGCACCUGAUACUACUUUGCUCGAGGCCUGAAGAGGAGCUUGGAAUUCUCGGUGUAGCAGUGAAAUGCGUAGAUUUCGAGAAGAACGCUCGCAGCGAAAGCGAAGCUCUGGUCAGGUUCUGACGCUGAGGCACGAAGGCUAGGGGAGCAAACGG
rnacentral:rRNA from 1 species